ACACAACGACUCUAACCAUGUGUGCAGUCUAGAAAUAGGCGACGUCAUCCCUCUGCUGGAACCCCACAGUCUCUGUAGCGGACCAGCAGCCAGGCAUUCUGGUCCACAGAUUAGGUGGUGGCGGUCCCUGGCCCUGUUGCUGGGAUCAAGAUAUAAUCGGUCUCCAUUGCGGUAUUCGACGGUUGAGAAACGUUCCGUAGGUGAACCUGCGGAAGGAUCAUUA
rnacentral:rRNA from 1 species